rnacentral:rRNA from 1 species
GGUGAACGCUGGCGGCGUGCUUAAGACAUGCAAGUCGAACGGGCUCUUCGGAGCCAGUGGCGCACGGGUGAGUAACGCGUAACUGACCUACCCCAAAGUCGCGGAUAACGAUUCGAAAGAAUCGCUAAUACGUGAUGUGCUGUCAGAUCCUGUUCUGCCAGUAAAGAUUUAUUGCUUUGGGAUGGGGUUGCGUUCCAUCAGCUAGUUGGUGGGGUAAAGGCCCACUAAGGCGACGACGGAUCGCCGGCCUGAGAGGGUGGCCGGCCACAGGGGCACUGAGACCUGGGUCACGCCCCAGCGGGAGGCGGCAGGUAGGAGUCGGGAACAAUGGGCGAUGGCCUGAUGGAGCGACGCGGAGUGAGGGGUGAGGGUCGUCGGAUCGUGAGCCUCUGAAUCAGGGACGAAAGGCGCAAGAGUGAGAUGACGUUACCUGAGUAAUAGCACCGGCUAACUACGUG